rnacentral:rRNA from 1 species
AACGAACGCUGGCGGCAUGCCUAACACAUGCAAGUCGAACGAGACCUUCGGGUCUAGUGGCGCACGGGUGCGUAACGCGUGGGAACCUGCCCUUAGGUUCGGAAUAACUCCCCGAAAGGGGUGCUAAUACCGGAUAAUGUCUUCGGACCAAAGAUUUAUCGCCUUUGGAUGGGCCCGCGUUGGAUUAGCUAGUUGGUAGGGUAAAAGCCUACCAAGGCGCAGAUCAGUAGCUGGUCUGAGAGGAUGAUCAGCCACACUGGGACUGAGACCGGGCCCAGACGCCGAGGGAUAGCGCUGAGGGUGAAUUUGGGGAAGAGGGCAGACAACCGAACCAGCAACCCCGCGAGGGAGUUCAAUGCUUUGGUGUUUGAAAGAAUUUUUACCCGGGGUGUUAGCGUGAGGACGGGGAUAACACGUCCGGGCGAACACCUG